UGGGGAAUAUUGGACAAUGGGCGAAAGCCUGAUCCAGCAAUGCCGCGUGAGUGAUGAAGGCCUUAGGGUUGUAAAGCUCUUUUACCCGGGAUGAUAAUGACAGUACCGGGAGAAUAAGCUCCGGCUAACUCCGUGCCAGCAGCCGCGGUAAUACGGAGGGAGCUAGCGUUGUUCGGAAUCACUGGGCGUAAAGCGUACGUAGGCGGCUAUUCAAGUCAGAGGUGAAAGCCCGGGGCUCAACCCCGGAACUGCCUUUGAAACUAGAUGGCUAGAAUCUUGGAGAGGCGAGUGGAAUUCCGAGUGUAGAGGUGAAAUUCGUAGAUAUUCGGAAGAACACCAGUGGCGAAGGCGACUCGCUGGACAAGUAUUGACGCUGAGGUACGAAAGCGUGGGGAGCAAACAGGAUUAGAUACCCGUGUAGUCCCUGAGCGGGCUGGCAAGGCGCAU
rnacentral:rRNA from 1 species